rnacentral:rRNA from 1 species
UACGUAGGGGGCAAGCGUUGUCCGGAAUUAUUGGGCGUAAAGCGCGCGCAGGCGGUCCUUUAAGUCUGAUGUGAAAGCCCACGGCUCAACCGUGGAGGGUCAUUGGAAACUGGGGGACUUGAGUACAGAAGAGAAGAGUGGAAUUCCACGUGUAGCGGUGAAAUGCGUAGAGAUGUGGAGGAACACCAGUGGCGAAGGCGACUCUUUGGUCUGUAACUGACGCUGAGGCGCGAAAGCGUGGGGAUCAAACAGG